rnacentral:lncRNA from 1 species
GCCUUCUGCAUGUGUCAUCUGGGCCAAGCAGCCUCUCAUGUGUCAAAUGAGCCAGCAGAGCCCCCAGUGUCUGUGGACUCACAUUCCUGCCUCAUGCUUACCCAGUCUUUUCCAGGAUUUCUUGAAGCCACAGUUUCAUGGAGGCUGCAGCUCCUGAGAGCAGCCAUGCAAGAGCACCUCUAAGGGUGCCUCUGGGGGUCAUGGCCAUGGCCUGGGGCAUUUGCCCUCCGGGAUGCCAGCACCGCCACUAGGAAUGCCUCCCACCCACCAGAUCUCCAUCCACUGUGGCCUGUCAUAUGUGUGGAGACCCUUACACCAGAACCAAGGAGCACCGAAUUCCAGUGGACCCAAGAUGCAUGGAUAUCCAGCAAGACUCAAAUCAAAUACAAGAUCCUUGAGGAAUCGCCACACUGUCUUCCACAAUGGCUGAACUAAUUUACACUCCCACCAGCAGUGUAAAAGUAUACCUAUUUCUCCACAUCCUCCCCAGCAUCUGUUGUCUCCAGAUUUUUUAAUGAUCGC